rnacentral:sRNA from 1 species
AUGAAAAGAAUAAACUAUUAACUAUUUCCGAUUAAAACUGAAACUUCAAAUUACAAUUUUCGAGUAUAUUGGUUUAUGUACGUGUAGAUUUACACGUGUACUUCUAUAUUGAAAUUUGUAGUUUUUGAUGUAAACCCAAGCUAUCUCGUCGACUUAUUAGUUACAUGUACGUCAUUAGUAACACGUGUACGUCUAUAUAAACCUAUACGCUGAAUUGGAGUGUAUUUAUUAUGCCAUGUCACGUCUAUCACAAUACUGUCUUUUGCGUCAAUCCAGUCAUAUUUAUUCCUACAUUUAUAGUGACUUUAAAGUUAUAAUGUAAGUACAGAAAUAAGUAUGGAUUACGAAACUUCAAAUUUAUUACUCAUAUCCGAAUAAACCAUUAAACGGAGAAACUUUGUAAACCAGAGGAUAAGCACAAAUUCAAACAUAACUUCAUAAAAGCAUUACAAGAACUUGAACAACUUCAUGCAUAGAGGAUAAAACGAAUUAGAAACAUAACUUCAUAACGGCAUUAGAAGAACUUGAAACAUAACUUAGACGAUAACAUUAAAUAA